rnacentral:rRNA from 1 species
GGCGCAGGCGGCUUUGCAAGUCGGAUGUAAAAUCUCCCAGCUCAACUGGGAGGGAUCGUUCGAUACUGCUGAGCUAGAGUGCAACAGGGGGAGGUAGAAUUCCCGGUGUAGUGGUGAAAUGCGUAGAUAUCGGGAGGAAUACCAGUGGCGAAGGCGGCCUCCUGGGUUGUUACUGACGCUUAUGCCCGAAGGCGUGGGGAGCAAACAGGAUUAGAUACCCUGGUAGUCC